AUACGUAGGGUGCAAGCGUUAAUCGGAAUUACUGGGCGUAAAGCGUGCGCAGGCGGUUUUGUAAGACAGAGGUGAAAUCCCCGGGCUCAACCUGGGGACUGCCUUUGGUACUGCAAGGCUAGAGUACGGCAGAGGGGGAGGGGAUUCCGCGUGUAGCAGUGGAAUGCGUAGAUAUGCGGAGGAACACCGAUGGCGAAGGCAAUCCCCUGGGCCUGUACUGACGCUCAUGCACGAAAGCGUGGGGAGCAAACAGGAUUAGAUACCCUGGUAGUCCACGCCCUAAACGAUGUCAACUGGUUGUUGGGUCUUCAUUGACUCAGUAACGAAGCUAACGCGUGAAGUUGACCGCCUGGGGAGUACGGCCGCAAGGUUGAAACUCAAAUGAAUUGGCGGGG
rnacentral:rRNA from 1 species